GGACCCGCACAAGCGGUGGAGUAUGUGGUUUAAUUCGAUGCAACACGAAGAACCUUACCAGGGUUUUGAAAUCAUUUCAAAACUCCUUGAAAGAGGAGCCUCCUUCGGGAUGAAAUGACAGGUGGUCAUGGCUGUCGUCAGCUCGUGUUGUGAAAAUGUCGAGUUAAGUCUCGUAACGAGCGCAACCCAUGUCUCUUGUUGCUCACUGAGUGCUUAAGAGAGACUGCCGACCAACAUCGGAGGAAGGUGUGGAUGAUGUCAAGUCAGCAUGCCCCUUACAUCCUGGGCUACACACGUACUACAAUGGUAAGGACAAUGAGCUGCGAUCCUGCGAAGGCUAGCCAA
rnacentral:rRNA from 1 species